AUGACUACGUGAAGCAUUAUCACACACUUACUCCUAUUAUUUACCUCCUUCUAUUCAGGAAGGUCAUUCUCAAUUAUUUCUUUCAUACUUGUCUUCAGUGUCAGACCCAGGAAGCUGAAGUUGGGAACCACAAAAGCAUAAAUGCCAGCAAAGAAAUCACCAACCACCUGGGUUCUUGCUUGGGCUGUGGAUUCCCUGCUCAUUGAGGGGAUGGAUGACUUCUGAAGAUUGCAUUAGCAGCAUUGCAAAGACAACAGGACUUUCUGUGAAAUGCUCUGAUCUGUCCCUACUGGAAGAAUCUGGGUGACAGACGUUCUGCCUUUUCUCGAAUUGCAACUUUUCUUGACUUCUUCUCAAAAACUUCCUCCUGGUGGAGAGUGGACAGAGACUGUUUCGAUACUGUGGAC